rnacentral:misc_RNA from 1 species
GAAAGAACGUAGCGAAAUGCGAUACUUGGUGUGAAUUGCAGAAUCCCGUGAACCAUCGAGUCUUUGAACGCAAGUUGCGCCCGAAGCCUCGGCUAAGGGCACGUCUGCCUGGGCGUCACGCAUCGCGUCUCCCCCAAACCGCCAAGGCGGAGGGGAAGGAAGAUGGCUUCCCGUGCCUCACCCGGCGCGGUUGGCCUAAAUUUGGAGCCCGCGGCACUUAGCUCUCGCGGCGAUAGGUGGUGAACAAGGCCUUGGCCGUGCAAACAACCCGCUGCGAAGCUCUAUGUCACGUGCGCUCGUCGGACCCUUUGAAGUUGCCUUCGGUGACUUAAAACCUUUGCGACCCCAGGUCAGGCGGGGCUACCCGCUGAAUUUAAGCAUAUCAAUAAGCGGAGGA